GCCACCCUAGCUCAGUUGGUAGAGCACGUCUUUCGUAAAGACGGGGUCCCGAGUUCGAUCCUCGGGGGUGGCU
rfam:Parcubacteria (Nomurabacteria) bacterium GW2011_GWF1_31_48 TR19_C0006, whole genome shotgun sequence.